rnacentral:rRNA from 1 species
GCGAACGCUGGCGGCGGGCCUAACACAUGCAAGUCGAGCGCCCAGCAAUGGGAGCGGCAGACGGGUGAGUAACACGUGGGGAUCUGCCCGAUGGUACGGAAUAGCUCCGGGAAACUGGAAUUAAUACCGUAUGUGCCCUUAGGGGGAAAGAUUUAUCGCCAUCGGAUGAACCCGCGUCGGAUUAGCUAGUUGGUGUGGUAAAGGCGCACCAAGGCGACGAUCCGUAGCUGGUCUGAGAGGAUGAUCAGCCACACUGGGACUGAGACACGGCCCAGACUCCCACGGGAGGCAGCAGUGGGGAAUAUUGGACAAUGGGCGCAAGCCUGAUCCAGCCAUGCCGCGUGUGUGAUGAAGGCCUUAGGGUUGUAAAGCACUUUCGCCGGUGAAGAUAAUGACGGUAACCGGAGAAGAAGCCCCGGCUAACUUCGU